rnacentral:rRNA from 1 species
UGGCAAGCGUUGUCCGGAUUUAUUGGGCGUAAAGGGAGCGCAGGCGGUGUCUUAAGUCUGAUGUGAAAGCCCACGGCUCAACCGUGGAGGGUCAUUGGAAACUGGGACACUUGAGUGCAGAAGAGGAGAGCGGAAUUCCAUGUGUAGCGGUGAAAUGCGUAGAUAUAUGGAGGAACACCAGUGGCGAAGGCGGCUCUCUGGUCUGUAACUGACGCUGAGGCUCGAAAGCGUGGGGAGCAAACA